AAUGAGAUGCCUGAAAAAAAGGAUCAUUUUGAUAGAAUGAAUCAUGUAUUUUAUACUCUCAUUA
rnacentral:tRNA from 1 species